GGAAAGGUGGCAGAGUGGUUGAAUGCGGCGGUCUCGAAAACCGUUGUCUGGCUUUCGUCGGACCGGGGGUUCGAAUCCCCCCCUUUCCG
rnacentral:tRNA from 1 species